rnacentral:rRNA from 1 species
CUCUAAAGGGUUGUCGUAGACGACGACGUUGAUAGGCAGGGUGUGUAAGCGCUGUGAGGCGUUGAGCUAACCUGUACUAAUGGCCCGUGAGGCUUAACCAUACAACACCCAAGCGGUU